GAAAAGAACCCCGGCGAGGGGAGUGAAAAAGAACCUGAAACCGUGUACGUACAAGCAGUGGGAGCACAGAGCAAUCUGUGUGACUGCGUACCUUUUGUAUAAUGGGUCAGCGACUUAUAUUCUGUAGCAAGGUUAACCGAAUAGGGGAGCCGAAGGGAAACCGAGUCUUAACUGGGCGUUAAGUUGCAGGGUAUAGACCCGAAACCCGGUGAUCUAGCCAUGGGCAGGUUGAAGGUUGGGUAACACUAACUGGAGGACCGAACCGACUAAUGUUGAAAAAUUAGCGGAUGACUUGUGGCUGGGGGUGAAAGGCCAAUCAAACCGGGAGAUAGCUGGUUCUCCCCGAAAGCUAUUUAGGUAGCGCCUCGUGAAUUCAUCUCCGGGGGUAGAGCACUGUUUCGGCAAGGGGGUCAUCCCGACUUACCAACCCGAUGCAAACUGCGAAUACCGGAGAAUGUUAUCACGGGAGACACACGGCGGGUGCUAACGUCCGUCGUGAAGAGGGAAACAACCCAGACCGCCAGCUAAGGUCCCAAAGUCAUGGUUAAGUGGGAAACGAUGUGGGAAGGCCCAGACAGCCAGGAUGUUGGCUUAGAAGCAGCCAUCAUUUAAAGAAAGCGUAAUAGCUCACUGGUCGAGUCGGCCUGCGCGGAAGAUGUAACGGGGCUAAACCAUGCACCGAAGCUGCGGCAGCGACACUGUGUGUUGUUGGGUAGGGGAGCGU
rnacentral:rRNA from 1 species